UACGUAGGGUGCGAGCGUUGUCCGGAAUUAUUGGGCGUAAAGGGCUCGUAGGCGGUUUGUCGCGUCGGGAGUGAAAACACUGGGCUUAACUCAGUGCUUGCUUCCGAUACGGGCAGACUAGAGGUAUGCAGGGGAGAACGGAAUUCCUGGUGUAGCGGUGAAAUGCGCAGAUAUCAGGAGGAACACCGGUGGCGAAGGCGGUUCUCUGGGCAUGAUCUGACGCUGAGGAGCGAAAGUGUGGGGAGCGAACAGG
rnacentral:rRNA from 1 species